rnacentral:lncRNA from 1 species
CUAGGUUGAUACUAUGAUAUUGGUUAAUGAGAUGUAUAGUAUAUAAAGAAUUACCUGGCUUUGAUAGGAGAUUAAGUUGUCUGGGUCUGUGUUAUUCAGGUAAAAACUGAUCAUACUUUCAUUAUAGAGUAACACCUGAAGAUGAAUGAAACCACAAGGUCUUGUGCAACAGCUUGAGGGUAGGAUGGACAAUGCAAAGGUGCAGAUACAUGCAGUUAAUUGUGCACAUAAUAAUAAUGCACAUAAUACUAUUACAACAUAUUUUUUGUGAUACUACAGAUUUUCAAGGAUACUAGAAGAUUUAUUGCGCAGUAUGAUAUUUUCUUUAGAAAGUUAUUAAAUCAAUGUAUCUUAUUUUUAUUGAAUGCACAAAUAUAUGAGAAACAGUAACAUUUGAUCAGGUUUCAUAUAAAAAUAAGGAGAUGUAGGAUGAUUGCCAAUGAGACAACCUUUAAUCAGAGAAAAAUAGUGUGGAUGUUAGCAGCUAUAGGUCACCUUCAAUAAUCAGAAAAACCCAUACAAUAUUGUAAGCUAUAAAAGGCAUGAAAUAACAAAAAAAGAAACAAUUUAGAAAUAAACCAACAUCCUAAUCAUUGAAAACAAUGAAAGGAAAACAAAUAUGGCAUUCAGCAACCAACAACCAAUACUCAGACACCUGACUUUGGACAGGUAGGUGUUUGUAAGGACCUAACCCUGCCCAAAGCUAAGAUAGUGGUGUGAUACCACAUCAUAAGAAAAGCUAUAAAAAUCAGUUAAACAGGAUCAAUUUAUCAGAUCAAGGAACAGCUUGAAAAAACACCAAAGACACUAAAGUACCAAUCAUACAGAUUGAUAUAAAAUAAGGAGAUAUGAUAUGAUUUCCAAUGAGACAACUAUCCGUCAUCGUCAUCGAUGAAAUGACCCCCGAGGUCACCAAAUAGCCUUCAAAAAUGGACAAAACCCAUAUUGCAUAGCAGACUAUAAUAGCCCCACAUAUAAAAAUAAAAUGUGAAAAUUCAAAUAAGAAAACCAACAGACUGAUUUAUGUACCCAAGGAAAUGAUAUACAGCAACAAACAACAACCACUGAGUUACAGUCUCCUGACUUUGGACAGGCACAUAGAGAAUAAAGUUACAUAUUUAUGUGUUGACAAGUAGAUAUCUCAGUAUUGUUUUGGUUCAUGUGCCCUGGCUGACUUCACAGACUUUCUUUUAACCUCAUAUAUCAAUCACCUGUCCACUCAAUACACAUUACAUACCUCAGGUUAUUGUUUAUAAUCUUGUUUUGGUUAUGUCAUAAAUAUAUUAUAUGAUUGGUUCCUUCUCAAUGUUUUUAUCCAAUUCAAUUAUACCAAAGACAUGUUUUUGUUUUACAUUUAUUGGUAAACAACAGAGUAUGAAAAAGCUCAGCCAAUUUUUUGCUCUAUUUCUCUGCCAUUUAACAUUUGUUAUAGACAGAGAGGAUUCUAAAUAGAAAAAGUAAUGACAAAAACCAAGAUUUACAAAUAAGUUAGCAUGCACGAAAUUCUCAACUCCUUGAAAGAGUUGCCUUUAAAUGACAUUUUUGAUCAUUUUUUUUAAUUUUGAUAUUUACUUUUGAAUUUGGUAAAGCGAAACUGUAUAAACAGUAGUCAAUAAUAUAAGGUCUACAGAAAUUUAACCACAACUGACUGUGGAUCUCCUCCAAAAAGUAGUUACUGCCCCUCAAUCAAAAUUAUUAACCACUUCAUGCAUAUUUUUUGUUGCAAUUAUCUUGAAAACAACAUAUGAUAGAGAGAAAUUGUGAACAACAAAAAUAAUCAGCAAGACAAGAUAUACAAGAAUGAAAUGGGUUAAAUGACAUGACCAAAUUGUCUUAAAUAAUUUUUGUCACAAUCUUUUUUAGUGCAGGAAUGGCUGUCACCAUUUCAUAUUUUGCAAGGAGAAUAAUCAGGCUCAUAGGUUUACAAAGAUUGAUUUUUUGAUACAUUUAUUAUCAUAUUAAUUAGAUAUUAGAAUAUGUGGUAUGAUUGCCAAUGGGACAACUCUCAAUCAAAAGUUACAAUUUGUAAGAGUAAACUAUUGUAGGUCGAGGUACAGCCUUCAACACAGAGGCUUGACUUACACCAAACAGCAAGCUAUAAAGGGCUCCAAAAAUGAAUCACAUUUUCAUGAGAAAAAAAUGAAAAAAAAAAUGGUCAAAAUUCUUUUCCAACCAAUUGUUUUUCAGGGUGUUUUCUUGUUAAGUAAUUUAUGCAGUACUUUAUUAUCAAUACUUCAAAAAGUGAAUAUAUUAAAACAUUCCUUUCUCAGUAAGAAAUAAACAUAUUGUGGAAAAGAUUUACAUGUCUAUUUUUCUUUUACAGACAUGAAAAGAUGGAAUGUCAAGGAAAAAGGUGGAGGUCGUUCAUAAGGUGAUUGCUCUGUUAAUUAAGAAGUACCUGUUAGACUUUCGCUGUCAUCAUCGAUCAAACAGUUCAUAAACUGUCUCAGUGCUCCAUACUUGUUACACAACAUAAAUGUAUUAAAACUCAUCAUUCCAGUAUUAUUCCAGAGAAACUGCAGGUAUGUGCAAUGUGUGGAUAUAAGAUUAUGUUGAACAAUGAGAAAAAGUGGUGUUAAGAAUCAUUACAAAAGGUUGAAGGUGAAAAAUUAAAGGUCUAAGUAUUACGCAACUUGCUUCCAUCUAUUCAUCAAUGUUACAUCACUGUCCCAGGUUAAGUAAAGGUUAAGUGCUCAGUUACCAUCCAAUAAGUUCCUUGGAGCCUCUAGUUUCAGAUCUAAAACCUCCCCUUUUAAUCAUGGUCAGCAAGAUUUUUCUGGAUCGAGUUAACUCAUAAUUACUAGCUUGAUUAAAAGAUGGAAGGAAAAUAUAAAAAAAAGAACACCUCUUGUUUAUUAGAAUGUGUCUACUGUGGUAGUGUGCCUGCCUCAUGUGUUGAAGGUUGUUGGUUAGAUACCUGGUUAUGUUAAACCAAAGACUUAAAAAUUUAUAUUUGCUACUUCUCUGCCAAGCACUUGGCAUAAAGCAGUAAAAGCAUAGACGGUUGGGUCUGGGUCAGAAUAAUGUGUCCUAAGAGGGGGACUUGUCUUCCUAGGGGACUGUUACCUUGAAAACUGGCAUAUUAAAAAUGACUCUCAGCGUGUUGGUCUAGUACAAGGCAGGCUUCAUAUUCCAACACUAUGUUCUCAUACUUAAUAGGAAUUUAAUUUGCCGCUGGACUUUAAACAAGCAUCCGUCACCAUUUAUAUUGUUGACUAGUUGACACUUAUAUAUUUUUAUGUGUAUUGAUCACUGUGUUUAAUGUGCUAUGGUUAAUUGUUGUGAUUCAACAGAACAGUCAUGUUAAAUACAGUAAUGUGAGAAUCAGGAAAUUCAUUCUGGUAACAGUUAUUAAUUAUUAAUAUUCUGAUCAUUAAAUAUAUAUUUUUUGUGAAGAAAAAAAUCAAUUACCCACCAUUAAGUUGUGCAAUUAGCACUCUGGUAUUACUAAGCAUUAUCCUUGUCAUGCAUUGUCUAUUAUCACAAGGAACCUCAUUUGUAAUAAACAUUAUGUUUUAUUAAUAAAAAAAAAAUGGGAAAAAGAAUACAAAAUUUAAGGAUAUAGAAGUAGUUUGCUACUGAGCAAGAAAUUCAAGUCUUGUGUUUUAAAAUGCUUGUAAAAAUCUGUAUAAAGGUACUUUGAAUUUUUCAAAUAUCUUGUGCUGUUAAAAAUCCUUAUUUCCCAAAUCAUAUAAGUGUUGUUUUAAACUGGAUAAAUUUUGUGGCGUAUAAAUUCAUUAGCAGGCAGCAUGAAAUUCCCAUUUAUCACAAAAGGAAUUGGACAAUGUUAUUAUUGUUGAUUUUGACCUAUUGACUUCAGUUGCAUAUUUUGAUCUUAUUUCAAGAAUAGCCUCUAAAGGUGUCUGUUCUGUUGUUCUGUUCAAUUCUGUCCAAUUUCCCAUUUAUUACAGAAGGAAGUGGACAAUUUUAUGCUUGAUUUUGAUGUAUUGACUUCUGUUGCAUAUUUUAAUCUGAUUUCCAACAUAAACUCUAAACGUGUCUGUUCUGUUGUUCUGUUCCACAUGUUGUAAGCAUGUUAAAGUUACAUUGUAAACCACACAAAAGUAAGCUGUUGUCAGCAGACUAAUCUUCUUACAAGUUAUUAAUCACUAUAUUUAUUACUGUAAGUCAAAAGUUCAAUAUGGUUUUGGCCAUUUGUUUAAAUUUUAAUCUGACCACAUAAUAAUCUGUACAAGUGUCUGCAUAAUGGUCAGUUAACAAUACAGAUUCUUUGUCUUACAUAUUGCUUUCAGCUUUCUUUUAAAGGAAAGGAGUGGGAUUUUUCUGGAAUCAAAAUUUUUUAAAUAUGUUACCUUGUCCAAGACAGUUUUUGUCUGACCACAGAAUUUCAGAUUAAAUUUAUCUAAAGAUUAAUGUAAAAAAUACUCUAAUAGUUUAUGGCAAUUUGUUAGGAUUGAGAUGAGCGGAUUAACUUACAUGUUCUUAAAUAUGUGGUUUAGGACACAUCAAACAAGUCAACAAAGAAAAGGAAAUUUGUUUUACCUUGGGUUGUAAAUUUUAUGUCUUACUACACGGCCGACACUCGGCUAACCGAGAGAUUGGUCGGUUAAUCUAUAUUGAGUAUGCGGCUAUAUCGGCAGUGGGUCUGUUAAUCGGGUUGGCUAUACGUCUGUUAAGAGUAAAACGCACAAUUUAAUGUUAAACUCGAUCAAAUAUACAGAUUUUUGGCAUAUUAUAAGAAUUAAAAUCAAAAAAAGAAAAGUGUCUGACAAAAUGAUAUCUAUCAAAGAACAUUUUCCACCUUUAAAAACCUUUCAUAUUCUGCGCAGUUUUCAAUAAAAGUAAAAGGCGUCGCGCAAGUAUGUAUUAUUUAUGAUUACACGCAUAGCAAUUUUUUAAUAAAAGGCGAAACAAACAAUUUUAGAUAUCAUUUAAAAGACACAAAAUACUACUUUGGUUCUUAAAUAUAAAUUGACAUUACUGAAUAUUUCAUAAUUGUAAUAUAACGUGAGUAAUACCACGUUUUAGUGAAAAUUAUGUGAAUAAAGUCUGUUAAUGGGUUGGACAAUUGAAAUUGUGUCAGUUAAGAGUUAUUUAGCCAACGAAAAUAGUUGUGCUACCUUUAUAUUUUCCCAUUGAAAAUGUUAAAAAUGAGAUGUUCUUGAGUAAAAAAAAAUAUUGUAAGGGUUCCGCGGAACCCAGUGUCUCGCCUACUUUUGCUGUAAAUCGCAGGCUUAACAAAAAUGAGGAAAAAAAUCAAUAAAAAUAUUCCUCUUGAUACUAUCUUAUGAUUGUAAGAAGCUUCUGUCCAAGUUUAGUAAAAAUUUAGGAUAGUGAAUGAAUCUAAUAAAUGUUUUGAAAACUUUAACUGCAGACUGUAUGUAAUGUUAACUGGAAGAAAAUCUAAGUCCAUUUAAGGAGGUAGACCUAGGUUAAGGGAGAUAACUCUUUAAAUCAGUCAAGCGUUAACUUUGUAAAAGUCAAGUUCACCAAUGUAUUUUAAGCAUUUACCUGAAACAGAUUGAAAAUAAUCUAUGUAACCUAGAAGCUUAGAAUAUGUUUUUGAAAAUGGUUGACACAAACGUACUGAUGAUUUUAAGAGUUAUUUCCCUUAACCUAGGUCUACCACCUUAAAAGUAAAAUACAGAACAAAUGGAGUUAUCUUUUUACAAUAUUUACUUCUGGAUACUAUUUUAUGAUCAUAUAUAAGCUUCUGUCCAAGUUUGGUACAAACCCAGGAUAGUUUAAGAAAGUUAUUAAAUUUUUUAAAAACUUUAACCGCAGAGUGAAUGUUAUGUUUCCCCGCAAAAAAACUAAGUCCAUUCAAAAGUAAAAUACGGAAAAAAAUGGAUUUACUUAAUUACAAAAUUUACUUCUCGAUACUAUCUUAUGAUCAUAAACAAACUUCUGUCCAUGUUUGGUACAAACUAAGGAUAGUUUAAGAAAGUUAUUAAAACUUUUAAAAACUUUAACCACAGAGUGAAUGUAAUGUUUCCCCGCAGAAACAAACUAAGUCCAUGAUUUAUAAGUAAAAUACGGAAAAAAUGGAUUUUUUUUUUUUUUUUUUUACAAAAUUUACUUCUGGAUACUAUCUUAAUAUGAUCAUAAACAAGCUUCUGUCCAAGGUUGUUAGAAAUCCAGUAUAGUUCAAGAAAGUUAUUAAAAUUUCAAAAACUUUAACCACAGAGUGAAUAUUUGUGGACGCCGCCGACGACGACGACACCGACGACGACGGAAUGUAGGAUCGCUUAGUCUCGCUUUUUCGACUAAAUUCAGAGGCUCAACAAAAAAUAAUAAUACGAUGCAACACUAUCCUUCCAGUAAAAGCAUUUUUAUUUUGACUUUCUUUGCAUUUUACUCAAGAGUGUGUCACUUCAAUAUAGCGUGAUCUGGGUUGGUCGCUGGAAUAUGCAUGAAUUUAUUAUUAACAAAUUUCAAUCAGCCUUAAUUUUUGUGUCUGCUCAAAGUAGCAUGUUCUCAAAUCCGAUUGAACGUGUCUUUCUAAUACAACACAGGGUAUAUAUAUAUAACGUGUUGUCGUUUUCAUAUGCACAUGACAUUUGUCACUGGACGUUUAGGUGGUACCCAACACUACAGGGAGAUAACUCUGUAAAGUCAGUGAUACGUUUUAAUUACGUUGUGUUGUAAAGGGAAUAAUAAGCUUCUCGAAGAUCAAAAUUGGUGUUUGUCAAACUGCUAUAUAACCAGUUAAUUUUUCUGACAAAACGGUUGGUUCAAAUUUUUUGAAAUUUUUUAUAUUUCUGUUAAAGGUUCAAAUUAAAUACUUUGUCAAAAUUUUAUCCAAAUUAAACGAACCACAUUGAUUUUAGUGAAAAGUGUUCGGUACCACCUUAAUACUAAUUCCUCAGCAUCAUCCAAUUGUUUUUUUUCUUGUAUUACUUAAUCAUCUGUUGUUUACAAAUCAUUCUAAAAAAGUAAAUGGAAAGGAGCGAAUGCAGCUACAUUUGGUUGUAUUAAAAUUUUAAGUUAAUUCAUUUUAUUCCGUUUAGUUCCUUUUCUACAUAUGUGCAGAGGAGAACUGCAGGUGUCCACAUGUAAACGUCAAGCAUUUGUCACCAAUAUGAGUACAUCGCAAUCCGUUACUGUUUCAACACCCAGGGGGGUUUCAUGUCUUUAUUCUUAAACAAUUUGUUUUCUUCUCUUUUUUAGCAAUGCAUCACUCUCUACUGUCCUUAUCUUUUAUUUGUAUUCUGUAUCUCCAUCCAGAUUCUCGUGUAUACCAUGAGGGUACGGAUUGGGGGGUGUUGUUUAUUUCUGUAUUCUUUAAAUGGUUUAUGUUACUUUUCUCUACAUUUUAUUUAUCUUACCCAUUAUUCUUUCUCUAUUCUUUAUAUUUAGGUAUCCCAAUAUACUGAUGUUUAGUUACAUUACGACGUUAAUCUCUGAUUUAUAUACUGGUUACCAAUGUAGAUGACAAAUUGGUGUCAUUCAUGACAAUUAAACAGAAUCCACAUGAUAUAUGCGACCAUUCUUCGGAUAAAAUCAAUUUUACUUUAAUUUAACACUUUUUGAAACCAUUUUUAUCAAUUUUCAAUAUCCAUUGCCUACAUUGUUAUUGUUCAUGUGUUUUGUUCCGUAUAUUUUAUAUUCCAUUGCUCAUGUUUUGUUUUUCGUAUAUAUUUUAUGUUCCAUUGCUCAAGUGUUGUUUCCGUAUAUUUUAGCUGCUCGUCUAGAGCCUACCAAAUGAACACACCAUAAAGUAAUAAAAUUAUACUUUUAUUGUCAUCCAUAACUCUUAACAGACUAAUUAACAGACCGGGUUUUAUACAUCCGACCCAUUAACAGACCAGGUUUUUAAUAAAGAUUGAUUUAUGUCACCAAAAUACAGAUUUUUCGUGUAGAUUUUUCACAAAAUGAUAUCAAUUUGGUUAACACUCAUAAUGCCUGUCUUUUUUCGAUGUUCAAAAUAGUGCAUGCAAGUAAAUUCAACCCAAGUGUCAUUUUGUGUACAUUUUGUGUGUGUAAAAUGUGUAUAAAUUUACUGAUGAGUAAUUUGCCUUUUCAUUUUAUAGAUCGUACAUAGAAGCUAGAAAAAUAAUAAUUACACCACUGGAUUCAGUACAUUGAAUAGUUUUGUCAGACAUAAAUAAUUUUUUAUGAUAAACAUAUAUUUAAAAGUUAUACAAUGAAAACAUUCUGAGUUUUCAAUGAUUUUCUCGAUAACACCUGAUUAACAGACUUUAGCCUACCCGAUUAACAGACCCACUGCCGAUAUAGCCGCAUACUCAAUAUAGAUUAACCGACCAAUCUCUCGGUUAGCCGAGUGUCGGCCGUGUACUAGAGAACAACAAAAUUAACAAAAAUGUCUUAUUAUUAAAGUUCUUUCAUAUUUUUCAUAAUCACAAAAGUUGACCUUUAAGCUGUAGCCUGAAAUACCACCAACUAUGCUAAGAAAAGAUUAACCAAAACAUAGAGAUAAGGGUAUUUAUUUAGUGCCAGACUCUGGCCAUUUUAUGUUAUAAUUAUGAUAAGUAAUGCAAUACUAAUUGUUUCUUCACACUAUCUUAUUUUAUUGAUGUUAAGAUGGCAAAACAGAUUCUUGUCAAAAGCUUUAAUAUUAAAUUAAUUACUUUUCUUUUAUCUACCAAUGAGAGGUGUGUCUAUUUCAUUGUAAAUUACUCACUUUGACCACUUGACCAUCACAUCUGAAAAUUAUAAAGGAUGAGCACAAUUAGCAACAUUUGCACAAUUAACCUUUUCACUUUAAUCUUUCAAUCUGCACUUAAUUGUAAGUUUGACCUCUAACAUGAUGGUCAAGUGGUCAGUUCUCACUGAUGUGUUGAUAAACUGUUGUCUUCUGAAGUAUUGCAUGGUUUAAAUAUUUCUAACUGAAUGGAAAUUAUCUCUUUAAUAACAUCAAAUAACAAUUUUAAAUAACUCCUAUAAAAACCCAAUUAGAUGUGUAAUUUUGUUAGGAUGUACUGGUUAGGGUAAGGAAUUGCAGCAUUGAAAAUAUAUUCAUUCAAAUGACAUCAACCCAACAACAUCCAACAAACCAAGUUGGUGUUUUGGCAUAUAAUUUGAGAAUUUCCAUAUCAUUGAAAGUGGCAUAAUUAUAAAGAGUAUUUAUCUUUUUAUUUAGAUUAUUAUAGAACUGCUUAUUUCAAUUUUCAGACAAGCACCUGCUCUACUUUGUAUGUCCAAUAAAGCCACCCAGACUGUUACAGAAAAGACAAGGUAAAUUAUAGUCCUAAUAUGUAGAUAUGACUAUCUCACGGAACUCUUUUUCCGGUUCUCUGAUCAUCAUGAUUGUUAAUGAGACAAUCCAUUUAAUAAAAAGGUUAGAAAAUGUCCGUAAGCUAUUUCAGUUAAAUGUAUCAAAAUUUGUCAGGUACUUUUUCAAUUGACAGCUUAUAUUUUUGUACUGAUAGCUUUUUACAAUUUUAAGAGAGGUUUAUGGACUUUUUAUGGUUAAUUAAGCGGACACAAUAUUUUAAGCCAAUAUCAACUAAUGUUAAUUAGUAUGAAAGUUGCUAAAUAUUUUUUUCUUGAAGGAUAUGUACAAAUAUGUACAAAAAUGUCAAAGCUUGCAGAAUAUCUGAAUGAAGAUGUUUUUAUUCAUUUUUUUGGUUAAAUUUUUUUAUUGGUUUAAAUAUAAUUUAAUAUUGAUGUGUUUGAAUUUUUAUUAGAAAUAAAUCACUUAUAGAUUUUGGAUAUGUUUAUAUUGCCUAAAGUAUAUUUUAAACAUUGAAAUACUAACGAGGAUAACAGAAAAAAAGGUCAGAAACUUUAAAUGAUGAAAUUUUGAUGGGGUUUGUGAGGCUCAGUAUUUAGUUUUUUCUACGUUGUGGUUUGCAUACUGUUGUUUGUCUGUUGUUGUUGUUUUUUUUUACUUUUUAGCCAUGGUGUUGUCAGUUUAUUAUUUCCAUUAUGAGUUUGACUGUCCCUUUGAUAUCUUUUGCCUCUCUUUCUCAAGAUCAAGAUGUUUAGAGUAUGAAGAAACCCUUUGAUUCUUCUAAGAUCGUCUUGAAUUUCUAGGAUAUAAAAACUAUUUCCACUGCCUGGAAUGAUUGUUAAAUGGCUCCUCCCCAUCUUGGGUAGAUCUUUUCUUCUUUCUGACAGUGUUUUUUUUUUUAAAGAUUUAGGACUCCUCCCUUUUUUUCCUUUUCUAGAUCCUAGAAAUGUUCUAUUGUUUUCAUCAAUAAACCUGUACAUAAUGUCUGUCUGGUAAUAUAAAAAACAAAACAAAAAAAAUCCAUCUGCUCAUGAAUAUUGAGAGGUACUAACUAUGAUCAUAAUAGUUUUAUCAGUACUGACUUAUAUUCUUACUAAGCCCAUCAUCAUCAUAGAAAAUCACCUCCUUAAUAUGUCUUUAAAAUUGCUUUUAAUAGUCAAUAAUUGUCACUUAAUGUAUUAUUUAAAACCAUCAAUGACAAAUAAUGAUAGAUAUCAUACACCAGGUAUCUUACUAUAGGUAAAAGGUAUAAUAUUACAACCAUCUAUUAAAUCACAUAAUUAGGAUUUCCAAUAGGACCUACUUUAAUUACUGUAAAUUCAGAAAUUAUUGGGGAAAAUUCAACAGGGUCAUAAGCGCAAUAAUUUAAAUUCGCAUUUUGAAAUUUUAUAUAUGAAUUAAACAGAAUUCUACUCAAUAUUGCAAAAAUUAAAGUCGCAAUUUCUGAAUUUACUGUAAGUGUUUGUUCAAUUUCUUCCAUUGCAGCCAGGAAAAAGUUUUUUCACUUGGUACUAUUAAAAGAAAAGGUUUUAAUGCAAAUUUGACAUCAUUCUAAAAUAAGCCAACAGAAAUGAAGAGGUUUAUUUGAGUGUUUAAAAAGGUAUAAGAUCAAAAUUAAAUGCAUUUAUUCCAAGUAAUCAUGUUUUAAUAUAUAAAUGACCUUGUAAAAAAUGAAAGCAAUUCAUGCAAAACAUUAACACAUUGACUUUUAAGACAGUCUGGACGAGGUGUGAGAUAGAAUGUCGUUCUAGUGGCUAAUCGGUACAUUCGCUUCAGGAUACAAUACAACCAUUUUGUACAGUCUGGUCAAGCCCAUUUAUCUACCACAUUCAUAAAUAUGAAACUUGCUGAUCCAUUGUGAUUUGUCAGACUUCAAUCUCUGUUUAAUAAUAUUUUUGAGGUUAUUUUUUCUGCUUUAUUUAAUUUCCUUGAAAAUGAUUCGAAAGAUCAUAAUUAAGAUAUUAUCAUCCGGUCAUUGGAGGGUCAAAAGUAGAUGUCAAAGUCCUGGACAUUAAUCGGAACGAAAAAAUUUGUUUGUUGCUUUGUAUCUGGAUUUACAUUUUUGCCUUCUGAGAAUUAAGCAUUGAAUACCUUAUGCAUCUUGAAAUGAAAUUGAAUGAAAAUUGUUUUACUGAAUUUUUCUAAAAAACAAUAGAAAAGGACUGAGUUUUUUGUGUAUUCUAAAUUUAGAUACAUAUUUUUAUUAAGAUAACAUUUAUUUUUGACUUGAUGAAAAUAUCCUUGCUUGUGGGUUGUUGAUGCUUUUGUGAGUGGCCUGUCAGGUUGGAGUGUGCAGAACAGAAAUUGCAAUAAACUACAAUUAUUAAUUACCUUUUUAGUAUGGUAUAGUGAUGACUCUGGCUUUCUAUGAUUGACAUUUACCUGUACACAAAUAUCUUCUAUGGUCACAUCUUGACAAUUUAUGUCACAGAAGCAUUCAUGUUAAUAUGGUUUAUGAAAAAAAAAGAUAUGGUCAAAAAGUAUUGUUUGGGCAGAUGGUUCCAGCUGUUACAACUAGAUUCCAGUAAAAAGAAACCCUAGCAAAAAUAUUUUUUUGAACAAUAUUAAAUCUGUCCAUAAGGUCAGUUCCAAUGAAAAUAUUUUUUCUUUAUUAAAGCUAAGUUACUUAUUGAUGGAUGUCAAGUCAAGGUAAAAUAUGGUAUGAUAUAAAAAGUAGAGGAAAAAACAAGAGCUUAUCUAUGAGAGACAAGUUGAUGCCAUUCUUUUCCAAACAAGACAGUCCACAUAUUUAAUAGACAUUUUAGCUUUUUCUUUAAAAAAAAACUUUUUACAUUAAUAUACCUGUACAUUUUUCAAUAUUUAUAUUUGUGUUAUUGGGUUUUAAAUUAAUUUUCACAGCAGCCAAAAGUAUCAUAUUAAAUAAGCAGUGACAGUUAUUUCCCUUAUAGUGUGUCAGUGGCCAUACAUAAAUCUGUUGGUUACACUAUAGGUGUUAUAUCUACUGUGAAAUAAUUGGGUCAGAUGAAUACUUGAUAGGAAUCAGGUUAAGAUAUAUAUACUCUGCAUUUGUCCUUACAUACUAGUACAUGUAUAUUCUUUCAUUUCGUUCCAAUAAGACAAAAUUACAGACUACUUUUGAUUUUGACUGGUCAAUAUUGUCUAAUGCUUACUGAAGCAACAAAGUCAAAUAAUAUUAAGAUUUUUAAUUUCACACAUAUCUUUUUUCUUAAAAAUAAACAAAUUCCAUAAAACAAAAAGAAUACUACUGAUCAAAUACCAUAAUUUGCAACUGUGGUGCCACACUGCCACAGGGGUCCCUAUUAAAUCCAAUUUAUUUUUUACUUGUACUCAAAAUCUAGUAUGAAUAUUGGAUGUUUGUUUAUAGUACACAUUAGGUCAUAUUACAUAAACUAGGUGAGCAGUACAAGCUUCUUGAAGUUUCUUCUUUAUCUUUUUUUACCCCACUUUUAGUUUAUCAGUGGCUAUUUGUAUGAAUUUGUAAUGACAUUUGUUGAACUAAACUUGAUUCUCUGGUACAAAGGUACAUCAAAGUUGUAUCUGCAUAGAUAUACAGGUGUUUGUUUUACCUGAUAAUUAAUGUUUCCAAAUUCUUUUUGAUUUAAUUCAUUUAGAACUUUGUUUUUAUUAUUGUUUUCAUUAAAAUCUUAUUUAGAUAUCCUGAGAAAUAUAAAAAUAUAUACACCAAAUAUAUACAUUUGUCUUACAAUCAAUUAUCUUGAAAAUAUUGCUGACCUGUCAUAUCAACUGUAGUCAAAUAUUUGACUUAAAUAGGAUAAAGCCUAUUACAUCAUAUGAUAUUAUGAUAUAAAGUUACAUAAUUAUAGAUUAGAAUAAGACCAUUAUAAUCAUCAAGUCUAAAUGAAAUAACAUUAAAACCAUCAAGUUUUAAAUGACUUAAAGUAUUGCCUUUUAGUAACAGUAUAGUUAAUUUUGGUCUGGAAAAAAACCCACACAAAUAUAUUCAAAAUUUAGUUGCUGAUAUAUGACAGCAAGAAUUUACCAAAUAUUUCACAAAGAAUGCACAGGAAAAAAAUGCAGGGAAAGGUUACUGUCUGUAUGGUUGGAAUCGGUCAAAUUAUUUAAAAAUUAAUAUUUGGGCUUCAAAAGGCCCCUUUCAAGGCAGUUACAGGGUUUCUGAUCUUCAUUUCGCUAAGCACUAUAUAGCUCUUUUUUAUUAUGACACUUUAAAGUAUAGUUACAGUGUUAUAAGAUAGGCCAAGUCAGUGGGAGUCAGCUCUAGUAGUCCUACUUGUCUUUGUGGACCAUCUGUGCGUAAAACGUGAAUAAUAGUUAGAACCCCCUCAGCUCAGCCCAUCUUGUCUUUGUGAACUGUCCAUGUGUAAAUCAUGAAUAAUGGUUACAGCCCCCUCAGCUUAGUCCAUCACUCCAUACUAAUUAGGGUUUGGAUCAUCAAGUACUGUUGUAAUCUCCUUAUCCUACCCUUCUUCAUUAUAAGGCCAGUUAGUGUUUAAAGCAUAAGGCAUGGUUAUGAUUCUUUGAAAAUAAGGUCUAAUCAAAGUGCUGACAUAAUAGUUUAUCUUCCUCAAAAAAAUAAAUCUUCAAUCUCCACAACCGAACACACCUCCAAUAUUUAGGUCAGAAGUUCAUAAGAACCCAGUAUAAUCUCUAUGUCCCUUAUGUAAGAAUUGAUAGUAAGUCUUAUAUGCUUUAUGGAAUCGUAAAGCUUUAACCUCAAUUGUUAUUUAGUGUUGAUUUUAAAAAGUUAAGCGGACAUCCUGUGGCGUUUGAACAAUAAGACUUUGAAAUUUGAUGCAUUUAAUCUUCUCCUUUUUGCUUCAAAUAUGUAGCGUCAUUUAUUUGUCAUUUUGUAUUAAACCAGAGCGUCACAACAUUAAUUUAAAUUCAAUAAAUAAAAUUCAAAUGAAAUUACCCUGUUUAUGCAAAGGAAUGAUUCAGUUGACUACUUUGAUGACUAUAGAAAAUGGGAAUGUAAUAAAAGUCUUUACAUGGAGAAAUCAACAUGAAAUAGAUAGGUGUUCAUAAGGGAGGGCUAUCUUAUUGAAUUGAGCUGUAACAUUCGAGGGUAUACAGUGGUCAACUCCUGGGCUUUUAUAUUAAUGGCUACUGUUGGUCUUCUGAUGAUGACUUUAAUUUUUAGUCAUAGCAAAUGGUCAUUAAAUGAAAAUGACCAUAUCACCUGUUUAUAGAUUAAUUUGAUUAUGAUGUUUUAACAGUUUUAGGUGACUGCAAUUGUCAUUUCUGUAGGGCAACAGUAGUUUAAAAAUUACUUUAUUUUUUUUGGUUGUUCCAUUAUCUGUAUAAAUUUUCAAUUUUUCCUUAUAACAACUAUGUUUAUUUGUCAUUUGUUUCUCCUAAUGUUGCCUAAAUAUACAAUCCUUACAACAAAAUCAUAUGUAUGUGUUAAGUUUUUUUUCAAAUUUGUAUGCAAAGUUCAUAAUUAAUCUAAAUUCUAAUAGUUUGAAAAGAUUAGAAGUUGUGGUAUGCAGGUGGCUUAGAUUCACACAUUGACCAAAGUCAAAUUACUCACAAACAUGCUUUCUCACAAGCUUCAAAUUACCAGCAUGAUUACCAAUGCCAGUGGUCAUUUUUAUAAAUGUCUAAAAUUUCCAAUAAACCAUAAAAACUGUCAGCAACAAGUCUAUUCAAUUACUUCUUCUUAAAAUUUAUCACCUUUUAUAUGUUUUCUUUGCAGAAAAAUUGCAUAUACAUAUGGGUCUCAUUUUGAAUGAAAUAUAUUUGUCAAAUCUCAUGUUUACUUUUGCUGGAAACUGCAUAAAUGCCUGUGGAUCUGCAAGUAAAUAUGUCAAAUUUCAUGCAUUAUCUUUAUAAAUAAAAAUGUAUGUCCACUUGAAAGGUUAGUUUUCUCAGAGAUUUAUCAUCUUAAUAUGCAUUUCAUUUAUCCAAUUAUCCUAGCAUUCUUAGUACAGAUUGUAGGUGGUUAAACUUAUUUGAAGAUGGUAACACUAUGCCAUCCUAUUUAUAAUUAUACCAUGGAAGUACAUGUAUUAUAUUUGAUAUUACUUCCAUGAUCAUACUUAAGGCUAUUUGACAGAAAAGAUAAGUUUACAUAACAAGUUGACCACUUUGUAGUGGUAGAUCCCUUCUUCUCAGUGAGAAGUUUUACACCUAUGAUAAUUGAUAGUUAACAGAUGAUCAGUCUCUAUUAUAUCAUAAUCCAGGUCAAAAUUGAAUUAAUUCUUUAUUUUUCUGGUAUCAAUAUUUGAUCUGUGAUUGUUUGUUUGUCAAAUGGUAUCAGUUUCUAUUUAUAAAAGUACAAUGUAAUCCAAUGGUCAGUUUGGUUAAUAGCUGGUCAGUUGGAGUAGAUUGUGAAUUAUGUAGACCUUUAGUAUUUAAUUUUAAUCCUUUGUCACGGUCAUUUAUCUACAAAAGGAGAUUAAGGGUCCUUCUUAAUGAAGUAUGGUUUUCCUUUAUCUUACAUUUGAUAGUCUGAAUUCUUCUUUAAGAUGUCAUGAUUAUAUAAUGGAACAAGGUAUGGUGGGAGUUUCUGUACCCUAGAAAAACUGAAAAAAAUGGAUUACCUAUCAAUAUUAGAUAGGAAGAAAUUAUGUAAAAUAUUAUAUGUUAGACAUGAGGAAUCCUUUAAAUUUAGAUUGAAAACAGUGCUCUUUUAAGAGUAAAUUUUUUAUUAAUUUUUUUAAUUUUAAGCAAUACCCUAUAACACAGUGCUGAUGACCCACAUAUAAGAUCAUUUUUGCAACUUAUGGAUACAAUUUUACCAUGAUAAUAUAUAUGCUGUAUGUGUAUGUUAACCUCAAGAUGUGUCUUUUUGUUAUUAUAUUGUUAGGUUACUGUCUCAUUAAAGUUUGACCCACAUUAUUUUUCAUGUACUGGUAUUGAAGUUUAGUACAUCUUAACCUCUUCGCAAAUAGUAAUACAAAUACUAAAAUAUUAUAAUUUUUAUACCUGUGAUAACUUAACUAAGAGUCAAAUAUCAAUAAAAAUAUUUGAAUAAAAUUAAAUAAUAGUGAAAUUAUGAUAAUCUAUUUUAAGUUAGUUUGUUGAGUAACCAAUACUAGAACCACUAUAGUAAUAAGGUCAGGUGAUAUUUGUCCUAUAUCUAGAUCAAUUAUAGUAGGAACUACUUUCUUUAGGGGUGUACUUCUAAGAUGGGACACUCCCACUCUUUAUAGCUAACUAUUUUACUGACAUGUCAGAUUAACAAGUGACCUCAGUCCUGGUCACUGUAAGUGUACAAGAACAUAAUUGUCCUAAAACUAGUGCAUUAAUUCCUAUAAUAUUCUAUAAAUUAAAAGUUUAAUAGAUAUGUACCUCAUACUUUGAAAUACAACAUAAGCCAAUUAAGAAAAUUUGUUUGAAGAGGAAAUCUUAAUUAAUCCCAAGACAAUAAUACUCAUAUCAGGGUUCAGAAGACCAGUAUCUUCCAUACAUUGAUAUUUCUAUAAAGUAAUGUGUCCCAGGAUAACACUUCAAUCAAAGACCAGGAAAGUACUUCUAUAACUAGCUUUCUAUUGAUUAUGUUAUUCCUGACCUUAACUUCAAUAAAUAUUUAUUGUCCUCUUUCAUACAUGUCACAAGAAGUGAGAAAGUAUUGUAUACUAUUUUUCUUACUAUAAGAAUAUUAUUAAUUUGAAUUAAUGCACAGUUAUACCCAAAUGGGGUUGAUUGUAUACAUGAAAUUAACAAAAUGAUAUAGGACAUAAUUCAUCACACAAAUGAUAAAGGUACCCGAUAUAAUAGAUACUAGAACACACAAAUCACGGGCAUAUACAGCUUGUAAACUGUUGUAGGAUGAAUUUUUGUAAAAGAUUUUAUGACUGGAGAAUUUAUAUAAGGUAUAAAAAGCUUCCUUUUUUUCCAAAAUCCGUUAUGUGUUUCCUUUCUGUUCAAUUCAAUUAUUUUUCGUGUUUCUGGCCUUAUACCACAAUUAGUCUUCCCCAUUGCUACAAUGCAUUUUUAAGUAAAAGUCAAAUUAAAUUAAAAAGUUGCACCGCUUCAAACAUGAAAUAAAUGAAACUGCUUAUAGACCAUUAUUAUUCUUAUAAAAUGUGCUUCUAGGACAAUCCAUCAGUGCUUUUUCUUUUGAGAGGCUUUUAAAAUGCCAAUGGUAGGAUUUGAAUCUCGUAUAAAUGACUUAGGCUCAUUUGAGGGGUGGUCUGAGGGGCCCUGAUCCCGAAAUCCCGGGCUUAAAAACAUGAAAUCCCUAGAUGCGUCUUUUAACGAAAUUCAUAUCCCAACAUUCAAAAAUUAAGAAAAAAAUAUUCCCGUAUCCCUUAAAGAUCAAUCCCGAAAUCCCGAGCUUAAAAAAAACCCGAUCCCCACGUCCCGAAUAAGUCCUGCCUCCCUCUAAUCUCUAUCGUACUUUCAUUUUGGCCAAAUCACUACUUUCACUUUCAACAAUAAAUUGUUAUGCCCCCAUUUAUGGGAAUUAUGUGUUCCAGUCUGUUCGUCUGUUCGUUCGUUCGUCCGCCCUUUUGUCAGGCUUCAGGUUAAGUUUUCACUUUCAACAAUAAAAUUUUACGCCCCAUUUAUGGGAAUUAUGUUUUCUAGUCUGUUCGUCUGUCCGUCCGUCCCGCUUCAGGUUAAAGUUUUUGUUGAGGUAGUUUUUGAUGAAGUUGAAGUCCAACCAACUUGAAACUUAGUAAAUAUGUUCCCUCUGAUAUGAUCUGUCUAAUUUUAAUGCCAUAUUAGAGAUUUUACACCAUUUUACGGUCCAUUAAACAUAGUAAAUGAUAGUGCCGAUGUGGCAUCCGUAUACUAUGGACACAGUCUUGUUUCCACAUGUUUUAUUUUGAUAUAUAUGCAACUUGUAUGACCCCUUAGAUAGUAAAUAUUUCAGAAAAAAGUAGACAAAAUACAAAUAGUCUCUGUCUAUUAAAGAAGUGUUUACAGGUUGAUAAACGCGAAAACAUAAUGGUCUCUAAGGAGGUAUAAUAGUUGUGGUUCUAAAAGUCAGUCUGAUAACGGAAACAAUAUCCGGACACCUAUUUUGUCGUUUUUCUCCCAAAAUAACUCAAUAUGAAUAAUCAUAAGAAUGGAUGACAAAUGCGACUAUGCAUGUUACCUAAAGAACACAGAGGCAUGAUGGUUGAUUUAUUGUGGAAGGAAGAGAAGCGACUCACAAAAUGAGGUCUUCUCGUUUAAUAGUAUAGAUAUGUACCUUUCAUACAAGUUGGUGAGUUCAUUCUCCUCAGUAACCACGACUUUUUUUAAUAAAUAGAAUACCAUACUGCAUAACUGCUGGACAAUAAAGACAUAAAACCAAUUUAUCUUAGUUAUCCAUUUCAUCUGUAUUUGAAUAGGUAUUUUAAUAUUUUAUAAAUUCUCAAGUUUUCAUUUUUUGUACAUUUAAAUAUAAAUCAAUCUUCAUCAUGUAUUUUAUUUUAACAGCAAUGAUAAAAAAUAAAUAAAUAGGGAUAUAAGUUACCAAAACAGCAAUCAACUAAAGCACAUUUAGUGGUCAAUGUAAUUUCUAUAAUUUAUUUUACGUUUGGAUGUUUUUAGACUUUUGGACAAUGGUGCUAUGGACUGAAUCUUAGGUUGAUUUUGAUUACUGAUUCUUUUAUUGAAAUGCUUAAAGUUUGAAUGAUAAAAAGAAUUUUAAAUUUUGAGAUUACAAACUAUAUCAGUACAGAUCAAGGACGAUUGGUUGUUAAAAAUAAAAUUGAUUUGAAAAAUUGUUUUAAGACUCACUAUUGGAUCAAAAUCUACUACUGUAGUGCCUAAUAUUUGAUAUAUAUGAUCUCAUUCAUAGGUAAUUGACUGCACCAAAUAACACAAUAGGUGCAGUUGUACCAGAUACUUAAAUGGGUCACUGGUUAUAAUCAUAACCAGAAGUUAGUUUUUAUUACCAGCAACCUUUCUCACUAUGUUUUAGUAGGGCUAUGUGGGUAGAGAUGUAACUUUAUCUAGAUUUGUUGAUGCAUCCAUAUCAUUCACCACUUUCACUCUUUGAUUGAGUCAUUGAGAUAUUUACACUUUUCUCAAGGUAUCCCUUUCAUUUUUACUAUCUUCAUUCAUGAAUGCCCAUUAAGUUAUUUUAAAAAGUCAUAAUAUUUACUAGUAGAUCUACAUGUUCAUCCCUUGUUUUCUUGUCUCAUCAGCUGUAUUUAUGUCAUGCAUCAGUCUCAUGAAACAGACUGCAUGUCUGUUGCCAAUAUGUCCCUGUGGGGGUUAUUUGAAGUCAUGACACUCUGACUUUCAUAGUCAUAGGUUAUAUUCCACUUCUCUAGGGUGGUUACAUUAACCACUUGAAUGGGAGGGUCGAUCUCCCAGAUGGACUCAAUUAUUGUUACCAGUAUCUGAAUUUGUAAGUUUCACAAAAAAAUGUGGGACUAAAUUUGAUAUUAAGUAUACUGAAUUGUUCAUGGCUUACACUCAACUUUAGUUUGUUCAUUUUUUUGUGAAACUGAUUACUGGACUGUAACAAUCGUUUAUCCUAUUUUGCUGUUGUCCUCCAAACUCCCUUGCUAUAAGUGAACAGGGUAAUAAAACUCUUUGUUAAAGGUAACUGAAAUCCUAAGUCACAGUGCCUAUAUAGUGGUAUGCUUAGAAAUUUAACCAUAAUAGGCAAAACAAUGUCUUAGAACAAUCAAGUAUAGCUAGGAGAGGACAGGUUCAACUAAAGCUUGAAAUAUUUAUCAGCAUCUACCUUUUACAGUAAUAGAAUUUCAUUGACUUCCUCCAUGUUUCAACUAUAAAUACAUGGAGAUUAAGGGUAUCUGUCAACAAGAAUACUGCUAAAAUGUUUAACCCUGCCACCUUCUGUAUGUAUGUCUUCCCAAUCAGUCUAAAAUGUUUAACCCUGCCACUUUCUGUAUGUAUGUGUCUGUCCCAAGUCAGGUAAAAUGUUUAACCCUGCCACCUUCUGUAUGUAUGUGUCUGUCACAAGUCAGGUAAAAUGUUUCACCGUGCCACCUUCUGUAUGUAUAUGUCUGUCCCAAGUCAGGUAAAAUGUUUAACCCUGCCACCUUCUGUAUGUAUGUGUCUGACCCAAGUCAGGUAAAAUGUUUAACCCUGCCACUUUAUGUAUGUGUCUGUCCCAAGUCAGGUAAAAUGUUUAACCCUGCCACCUUCUGUAUGUAUGUGUCUGUCCAACAAGUCAGGUAAAAUGUUUAAUCGUGCCACCUUCUGUAUGUAUGUGUCUGUCCCAAGUCAGGUAAAAUGUUUAACCCUGCCACCUUCUGUAUGUAUGUGUCUGUCCCAAGUCAGGUAAAAUGUUUAACCCAGCCACUUUCUGUAUGUAUGUGUCUGUCCCAAGUCAGGCAACUUUAAUUCAGUGGUUGUCUUUUGUUUAUGUGAUACAUAUUUGUUUUUCUUAAUUUUUUGUAGAUAAAUUGGGCCUGUUAGUUUUCUCAAUUAAAUUGUUUUACAUUUUCAUUUCCAGGCCUUUUAUUGCUGACUAUGCAGUAUGGGCUUUGCUCUUUGUUGAAGGCCCUAAGGUAACCUAUAGUUGGUGAUUUCUUUGUCAUUCUGUCUCUUAUGGAGAGUUGUCUCAAUGGCAAUCAUACCAUAUAUUAUUUUUUAUAAGACAUUAACCCAACAACCCAAACAAAACAAAACAAUCUCUAAGGUAUAGUAUGUCAAACUCUAGAUAACUCUGAAUAUAGAAAAGCAGUGAAUAAGUUAAACAAAGACUUUCAAAGAUAUGACCUCAAUACCUUCAAUGACAAAGGUACUUAACUUUUAUCCAAUGAAACUAUAACAAGACAUAAAAGAUAAUAAAAAAUGUUCCCUUCCUAAUUUUUUUUAUUUUAUUUUAAUUGUGGUACUAUUACUGCCCUAAAUUAACACAUGAUAUCAUACAAGAGAUUUACACCAACAGCUCUAAUAGUUUUAAUGGUUAAGUUUCAGCCUUGAUUCAGAAUUGUUUUUUACAAGAUUUUUUCCCAAUGACAAUAGUUAUGAUUACAUAAAAACAAGGUUACAUUUAACAAAGAAAAGACUGUGUCAGUUUAUAAAUAUGACACAUCAAGAUUUCUUUAUAAUAAUCUGUUGAUGUCUUUUGUUUGGGUGGUAAUCUGAAUACAUAAAGACCUGUCACUUGUUACAGAAACUAAAUAAUUCAGCUACUAGUUAACAAAGUAUAUAAUUAAAUACUGUGGAUUCAUUUAUUUUCUUGUGUAUCAAUUUUUGUGGAUUAAGGAAAACUUGCAUUUUCGUGGAUUUUGGAUUUCAUGGUUUUUGCCGAUCUCUUCAUACAAAGCCUAUAGAAAAUUUGUAAUUCAUUGAACAUUUACAUUCGUGAUUCACCUUUGCCCAAGAAACCAACAAAAACUGGUACCAAACAAGUAAUAAUGAAUCCAUAGUACUGGAAGUAUAACACCAAGAGUCAGUGUUUCUAUUGCUGAUCUUCAUUUUAGAACUGUAACCAUUCUGUACAGUCAUUUCUUUAGCAAUUAUGUAUGUUUUUUUUUUACAGUUUAUGUGUUGCUUGAUAAGUAGGGAAUGUGCCACCUAGAAAUCUUGACUAUUAUGAAAUAUUAUCUUCUCUUACCCCAAAAUAGUACAUAUAAAAUGUUAUUUUCUCUUAAUAGAUUAUAGUGAUAUAUUAUCUAUAAUCUCAAGCAUUUUACAGGUAACAUAGAUACAUGUAGAUAUGAAAUGAUACAGAAGCAGGUUCAGUGCCUGAUUAAAUGGAGAUUUGCCAUGUUUUUCAGUCCUUUAAGAAGGGGAGGCUUUUUGUUAAGAGGUCAUAUAAGAGGAAUGGAUGUUAGAUCCUGAUUAAUGGAGCUGUGCAAUGUUUCUGUGUCCUGGAAGAUGGGGAGGCUUUUUGUAAAGGGGUCCUAUAAGAGGGAUGGAUGGUGGCUCUGUAAUAAAAUUUAUAAAAUUUGAUUAAUAAUCUAAAUAAUAUUGACAAUUACAAAUAUAAUUGAUAAGUUUUAAAAGGAGAGGGACAUUAAUAUAUUCGAUGUGUAAUGAUAAAAAAAAUAAACCAAUAUGUAUUUUCUAUUACCUUUUUAGCUCACCUGGCCCAAAGGGCCAAGUGAGAUUUUCUCAUCAUUUGGCAUCUGGCGUCGUCCGGCGUCGUCGUCGUUAACUUUUACAUUCUGAACUUCUUCUAGAGAACCACUGAAUGGAAAAAACCAAAUAUUGUAUGAAUGUUACUUAUGAGGUGCUGACCAAGUGUUGUUACUUUGUAGCCGAUCCAUCAUCCAAGAUGGCCGCCAGCGGGGGACUUAGUUUAACAUAGGACCCAAUGGGAAAUACAUACAAAUGUCUUCUUGAAGAGAACCACUGAAUGAAAUGAAGUCAAACAUAGCAUGAAUGUUCCUUAUGACAUAUUGACCAAGUGUUGUUACUUUGUAGUCAAUCCAUCAUCCAAUGUGGCUUCCAGCAGGGGACUUGGUUUAACAUAGGACCCUAUGGGAAAUACAUACAAAUGUGGGUUCUUUUAGAGAACCACUGAAAUGAAUGAAAGUUAUCUUUUUAUAUGAUUUCAAAAACCCAGUAGAAUCACGUGAGUGAUACAGGCUCUUGAGAGCCUCUAGUUUCAGUACAGUACCUGUUUCAAUAUUGCAUUCCUAUCACUAGAUUUUAGUCUCUGAACCAUAGCAGAAAGAAUAAUGUAAUAACUUAUUUAACAUUUGUUUAAACUGAUAGUUUUUAAUUUCUGAACCAUGGCAAGAAGAAUAUUUUUAUAAGUACUAAUUUAGACUGAUAGUUUUGGAUUUCUGACCAGUGGGAGUCAUACUAUUUUAAGUACAAACUCAUACUGAUAGUUUUUAAUUUGUAACUGGUGGGAGUAAGGAGCUAUUUGUGUUGAGUCCUUACUUCUAAUUAUAAUACCACAGAGAUAAUAGUAACAGUAUGUUUAGGUACAAUUUUUGUCACAGUGGAAACCUAAUUUGAUAGAUUCUCAUUUACUGGACUUAAACUGUGCUUUUGUUAAAGUCUGUGGUCAGUUCUAUUGAACAAGACUUUAAAUAUUUACACACAAAGAUAUGAUUUCUUUGGGAUAGCUUCAUUUCUUCAGGGCACAUGUAGACCCUGUUCUUCUCUGAAAAGAAGGAAACACUCCAGAUAAAAUCUUUCCUCUUUCCUAUUUACAACACUUGACUUGGAUUUAAGUGGAUAAAGACCAAACUUGACCUAUAUAAAGUGUUACUGAAUCAAAGAGUCGGAUUCAAUUAAUAAGAAGUAUUAUUGAUAUGAUAUGUUUAAUUGAUAUUGUUACAUUUGAUACUUUCCUUUUAGAGAUCUACUGUAGAUGCUUAAAUGAAAGCUUAUGGUUGUUAUAUAUUGUCAUUUCAUCUUGUUAAAAACACAUUAUAACUUUUUAAUGUACUCAAUUAAUAUUGUUUUAAUGAUUAUUAUUUUUGGAAAUACUACAUUUGUACCUCAGCGAAACCAACUGUCAUUUUAAAGGAAGACUAGGAAACUUGAUUUAAGGUAGCACAAUACAAAGAUUUUUCAUCCCCAAUCAGAUAUCUUUAAACUGAUGUAAUUCCACUCAUCUUUCUUUAAAUUUUAUAAAUGAGGUACCAAAAGAAAGAAGAAGGAUUAAUCUUUCAAAUUGUGAUAAUUUCAUUAUGACAUAAUUAUUACAUCAUUAAUUGUUAUGUAAUUAGUUGCCAUAUUGUGAUGUCUAUACUUGAAUGAAUUUAGCUCCUUUGUUAUUCAUAGCAUCCAAAAAUGUUUUAUAGAUUCUUGCACAACACAGUAACUGUGUCUCAGAUUUUUCCUAUUGUAUUUCAUUCUCUCAUAAAUCUUCAAUGAAGUUUGCAACAUAAAUUCAUAAGACACCACUAAAUUCAAUUGGGAAUAAAAUUUGUUCUAUUGAUGUUUUUGAAAAUCUGAGACACAGUUUUGGAGGUCAAGCUGUGUUGUACAAGAAUAUAUAAAAUAUUUUGGGAUGCUAUGAAGAACAAAGAAGCUAAAUUCAUUCAAGUGUGGACAUCACAAUAUAGCAAGUAAAUACAAAAUAAUUAAUUAUGUAAUAUUAUGUCAUAAUAAAAUUGUGGGCGUAUUGCAUUUCCGCUAAUUUUUCAAAGUCCCAAUGCUACGUUUCUGCAAAUUUAAAGUAUACGUUUCCGCAAUUUGUAUUUAUUACUUUUCCUGAAAUUUACCUGGUAAAUUGUAAAUAAUUGAAUAUAUAUUGACUUGAAAAAUGUUGCUAUGUCCUUAUACAGAGACAGGCGAAAGCAGUUUCCAAAAUUACCUAAAUGUAGAUUAGAAAUUCACGAGACAUUAAGACAAAUAGAUUUGAACACUAACAAAAUUGAAACUUAUUUUAACUUUUAAUUAGUCAAUGAUUUUGAUUCGGGAAUCGUUAUACUUUCAUGUUUCACCAACUUGGUAUGUCUAUGUAAUGAAAUGACUGAUAUUUUCAUAGAUGGCACAUUUAAAUCCUGUCCGAAAUUCUUCUACCCACUCAGUUUAUUCGAUACAAGGAUGUAAAAAUGGUAACUACAUUCAUCUUGUAUUUGCGUUACUUCCACUUAAAUCUGAGGAAUGUUACACGAAACUGUUGUAUCGGCUUAUUGAUGUGUGCACUACCCGAAGAAUAACUUCCCAAGGUAGUUCAUAAUGACUUUGAAUGUGUAAUGCAUACUGCUGUUACGAAAACACGAAUAGUGCCGAGUCUUUUCAUGCCCACUUGAACGAGCAGUUUUACGCUAGCCAUCCUAACAUUUUUUGUUUGUUUUUAUCGAUGUGUUAUUGAAACUGCAAACAACAUCUUACAUAAAGAUGAGAACUCUAACUGUAAAAGCACCCGUUUGGAAAUGUGAAAAGGAGAAGAUGGACUUCCUUAAGUUCUUGAACAAAUACAAAACUUGUAAACGGUGAAUGUACUACUGUGGACUUUGUGCGGCGUGUUGGCUACAAAUAUUCUGCCAGAACUGACUUAUGAACUCAUAUCAAGAUAUUUCUGAUUAGUGCUGACUUUUGAACAUACGUUUUCAUAGAUUUAAAUGAUGAAGUUUACUUGCAUGUUAUGAUGACCUUUGACUUACUUAAUAUUUAUUUUAUAUUAUGGCUUUGCUUUCGAUCAACAGGUAUUCCUCAAUUAUUUGCUGAAAAGCAAUAAUUUAUUUUUUCCGGAAUAGUUACUUUUUUUCCGGAAAAGUAAGAUAUUUAUUUGCAGAAACUUAAACUUUUUUUCCAGAAACGUCAUCUUUUUUUUCCGGAAAAGUAAUGCCAAUUUGCGGAAACGUAAAACGCCGAAAAUUAUCACAAUUUGAAAGAUUAAUCUUUCUUCUUAUUUUUGGUACCUCAUUUAUAAAAUAUAAAGAAGGAUGAAAUGAAUUACAUCAGUUUAAAGUGUCUGAUUGGGAGUGACAAAAUCUUUGUAUUGUGCUACCUUAAGAUAAGUCUUUUUGGUAAGAUAUAUGUCCCCCUAUUUAUAGACUCAGUCAUUAUUAUUAUAGCCUUUUUAGACUGAAAUUUCAAAUCUGUAUAAUUGUAAAUUACAGAAAGAGUAAGGUCUGAUUCUUUACCUUAACUUACACCUUAAAAAUGACAGUGAGCGUCACUAGAAAAAUGACUUUAAAACAAGUUUUUCUCAUUGUGAACUUUCCAUUUUACUCCCACAAAAACAUUGUAGGGGUAUUUAGUAAUCACUGGUCUGUCUUUACAUGCACCUUUUUAUCAGAACUGGAUGAAUAUUGAUGAAACUUUACAUAGGUGUAGAACUUUAACUGAGGAUGUACAGAAAGAAAUAUAAUCUUGGUCCUACAUGUUAAGAGGGGAGAUAAUAAAAUUAUUGUCUUUAUUUAAUAGUUAUAGUAUUACAAUGAAGAUGUAUUGUAAGUGAGUUCACUUACAUUUCUAGUUUGCAGCAACAUUCUAGCAAAAAUAAAAUAGAUAUCUCCCUGUUGAGAUAAUAUUACACAGAUUGUGUUUCCUAUCUGGAUAACUAUGCUAGAGGGUUGCUGCUUACAGGGAUUAGCUUCAGAACCAAUGAUCAUAAACAUGUUAUAGGUAUAUUUUCAUAAGUUUUAUAGAUGCUGUCAUGAUUUGGUUGGUUGUUAUGAACUAUUCUGUUUUAUAGGCAUUUUCUUUUUGUGGUAUGAAUCUUCAUUCUGUUUUGAGCUUUUCAAGAUUCUUUGCCUUAGAAUCUGUCUUUUGAAAGUAGAUUUGGUGUUUUGUUUUCAUUUGGUAAUUUAAUAUUGAGGAUCUUUCAUCAAUCUAUAAUUCCAGUUUAGAAACCCUUGUAAAUAUAUGCUGUUGCAACAGGUUUCUCCAUUAUACAGUGUCCUUGAUUGCUUGAAAUAAACAACUGAUUCCAUUAAAUGUAUUGAUCUUAAAUUUAAAGUAGAAUUCAGCUACCAAUUCAUUAUUACAAUUUCAGGAAUCUCAAAAAAACUAUGUUUUACAAAAAUGUAAAUUGUACAAAUUGAAUCUUAAGCAUUGAAAGUUAACUCCAUUAAAACUAUUGAGAUCAAAUGAAAUAAAGAACAUUGAAUUUGUGAUAUUUUCUCUUACAAAUGUUUUCCGUUUUACAAGUAGCAUAUGAAAACAUUACAAGAUUGUACGUCAUACUUGACACCCAUACUUCAAUCUGGCCACCACAGAUAGUAAAAUAUAACCGCUAUCUUAACAAUGGUUUUCCUUAUAUCAAGUACCCAAAAGUACUUCUAGUUCCAUGUAAACUCUCCUUUCCUGGUAAAAAACUAAUUAUAGUUCUUAGAUGUUUAACAAAGAAAACAUACUUUACUUUAUACUAUAAGGUCAUAUUUGGCGGGAUCUAUAUCGUGUCUGAGGAAAACAAAUACAUGUACAUGUUUCCAAACAUUAUGUCCUUUUCAGCUUACAUGUUAAACUAGUUUUUUGUUAAUUUAAAGAAAAGAAGUAAUAAGACUGGUUAUUUCUUUAUUUAACAUAAUUACAAAGUUUUUUAAAUAAGUGUUGUUUUAGAACGGCAUCUGUCUUGGUUUUUUUUUAAGUUCAAAACAUUCAAUGCUUUCAUGAUUUAUUUUCAAUAUAAGAAGCUGUUUCAUUGCAGUAAAUAAGAAAAAUCAUUAAAUGUCAGGACAUACUAUAUACAACAAAAUAAGGACUAUAUAAGUUGGUAUUAAAAGAAGCUGUAUUUAAGAUACAUUUACAUUGAAUAGACAUUGCUGUUUAAGUUACUGUCAAUGAUUUUUACUUUAUAAUUAAGAAUGUGUUUGGUUUUUGUUGCAUACCAAUUUAAUUCUGUAUAGUGGGUGUUUAAGUCAUUUGUGAUCAAAUAUCUCUUGAAUUUUCAUUAAUUUUACAUUUACUCACUUUGCUCAAAGAUGUUUUUCUGAAGGGCUGAUUAAGUUCUGUACUUUCUAGCUGAUCUUUGAUUUGAAGUUUAAUGGAACAAAUUCUAGACCAAAUUGGCUGAAUUUAUAAGCAGUACCAUAUUUUGCAAGGUCAUAUAUUGUGGUUCUAUGUUUUACUUUGUCACAAUUAUUGUUAUAUUUGCUAUCUUUACAUAUCUUUACCAUGACACAAAAUCAUGGAUGUGUAUAUUUCUAUUCAAGUUUCGUGGGUAUUUGAAAUAAGAUUUGAAUAAUCACGAUUAAAUCAGAGAUGAGGAUAACCCACUACUUCCAGAGUGUCAAAGCAAUCUUAAAUUGGUUUCACAACUCUGAUGUCAAGAUUAUGUAAACUUUCAGAGUGUCUCAGCUACUUAGAAUAAGGUUAACUUUCAGAGUGUCUCAGCUACCUAAGAUUAGGUAAACUUUCAGAGUGUCAUAGCUACUUAAGAUUAUUAAAACUUUCAGAGUGUCCCAGCUACCUAAGAUUAGAUAAGCAUUUAGAGUCUCUCAGCUACCUAAGAUUAGGUAAACUUUUAGAGUGUCUAAGCUAUAUAAGUUUUGGUAAACAUUUAGAGUCUCUCAGCUACCUAAGAUUAGGUAAACUUUCAUAGUGUCUCAGCUACCUAAGAUUAGAUAAGCAUUUAGAGUCUCUCAGCUACCUAAGAUUAGGUAAACUUUUAGAGUCUCUCAGCUACCUAAGAUUAGGUAAACUUUCAGAGUGUCUCAGCUACCUAAGAUUUAGUAAACUUUCAUAGUAUCUCAGCUACCUAAGAUUAUGAAAACUUUUAGAGUGUCCCAGCUACCUCAGAUCAGGUAAACUUUCAUAGUGUCUCAGCUACCUAAGAUCAGGUAAAUUAUCAGAUAAGUUUAACUUUCAAAGUGCUUUAGCUACCUCAAAUUAGGUAAACUUUCAGAGUGUCUCAGCAGCUACUUAAGAUUAUUAAAACUUUCAGAGUGUCUCAGCUACCUAAGAUUAAGUAAACUUUCAGAGCAUCUCAGUUACCUAAGAUCAGGUAAAUUUUCAGAGUGUGUCAGCUACCUAAAAUUAGGGAAAAUUUCAGAGGCACUGAAUGCAAUUUAAAAAUAUAUUUCUCUGAUUUAAUAUUGAUACUUGAGAUAUGUAUAGCAAUAUGUCCCUUUUCCACAGUCACAUAUCAAUAUAAAGGUAGUUACUUCAUGGCACAGCUACUUUGUAGUGGUUAACCUUCAGAGCUUCAAAGCCAUCUUGAUCUGCAACAUUAAGCUGGUUCCUGUUUAGAGUGUUAGAAAUAGUGCUAAAGAAAGUAUUAUUUGUGACCGGUUUUUUUCAGUUACAUAAUUAUGCAUAAAUAACAUAAAUUUCAGGUUUUGAAAUUAAUAUCUUUUUGAUAUUUUAUAAUUUUUUUAGUGUGUCUCAUAUAUAUGGAAAAGUGGUAUAUACAAAAUAAUUUGUGAUUUUCAGAAAAACUAAAAGCUUCCCCGGUACUGUAUAGUAUUGACUUAUCAACCCACUAUAUCAAAGUACUAAAAGCACCUAUUACUGUCAUACCCAAUUAAUGAAAUACCUACAUUAUCAAACACUUGAUUAAAAAUCUGCAUUCCCUUGCUAAAAGUAUUGAUUAAGUAUGCAAUUAACAGUCAAUACCUGACAAUACUGAUGACAUUCACAAGACUCAAUCUAGGUUAUCAGUACAACUAAACUAUCUUAUUACUUCCACCUAGAUAGGAUCACCCUGUAUUGAUCAUAGUGAUACAGUAGUGAGAACUCUUGAUUUGCUCAUCUGGCCACCUUAGCAAGAUGACAUAGUCAUAAUAGUGACUCUAAGUGUAUAAGAAAGUUCUAUCAAAGAGUGCCUUACAUGUAUAAAUGGUACAUUUCAAGAAUUCUAAAUUUUGAACUAAUCUUCUUCUAAUUUAUUUGUCUAUAUUUAAACCUUUUAAUGUCACGUUUUACUUUUUAUUUUUAUGUAGGUUAGUGUUACUAUUUGAUCUUGAUUGUACAUGAUGUUACGUCCUGGGACAUCGCCCAUUAUUUAUCUUUCUCGUUCCACUCGUACAUAUAAAGAGGUAUAAAAUAAAUAAAAGACAUUUUUUUUUUAUUUCACAAAUUGGGAAGUAAGUCCUUCAGAGAUUGCUUUUUACUGCUUUUGUAAUUUCUGUCUUUAAAUCAUAGGCACAGAAAAAAAGUCCUAUAUACCUUAAUAUAACACUUGUUUUAUAUUAAGGUAUAUUGAGAAAAUAAAUUCGGAGACAAGUGCCUGUGCUCUAAGUUUCCAAUUUCCAACCUUGUUUUACUGUGUCACUUGGUCAGUGCAACAUAUCGGUUAUUGCUCCAAUUGAUUGUCUUGAUUUACUCCUUUAUAGAUAGAAGUUUGUAAAAUGAUUUUACUUAUAUUUGUUUUACAUAUCUUAUCUGUGAUGUUACUUUGUAUCGUGUGACAUAUUGGUACAUAUGAAUGAAAUAAAAUAUGUAAAACCUUCGAAACGUCUAGAGGUUGUUUGCUUUUGACCUACUUGCAAGUUAAAUGAUAGGUUUUUCUUUUAAUUAAAAAUUCAUUUUUUAUUCAAGGAAUUUUGUUUCAUCCUGACAAAUUGUUUACGACUGACAUAUAUAUUUGAACCAGAUUUGAACCUAAAAUAUUGUCCCUUCCCAUGGACCAUUUCUUGUUAACCUGGUCUGUUAUGAAUAUUUUAAGAAUGAUUUUUGAUAAAAAAAAAAUGAAAAAAGGCUUCUAGCAUUGUCAGUCAGGGUCUUUCUGUAUAAUUUGAUUUUUUUUGUACAUCAUUUAAAUUCAACACUUGUCAUUUGUUGGAUAGCUGUUGUCUAAAUCUAUUUUUGGUUUUAUUAUGCUGCUUUUCUCUUAUUUAUAUUUUUCUCAUUUCUUUGUUUCGCCUUAUAGUACUGUUAUAUUGUAAAUGUUGUUUCCUGUCUCCAUUUCAACUUUAAAUCUAUAGAUUGUCUUUAGAUAAACGUAGAACCUAGUGAAAUAUUUUAAUCUUACUUUAAUUUAUAGUAAGACGUAUAGUAAGUGUGCUUUAUCAAUUUUAACUAGUGUAAGAAGACUGUUAUUUCAGCCAUAAGAGUCACUCAGAAUAUCACCUGUAAUGAAAUACAGUUAAAUUUUAUGGAAAUGUAACAAAUUGAUAUAACUAGUCAAUCCCCAGGUAGAGGGACAAAGAAACAUUUUUAUAUUUGCAUACAGAUGUAAAUAUUUGUAGUGUAACCACAAGUUUUACCUAUAUGUCUUUGUUUGUCCUAGGUCUGGGUGACUGGACAUUCUAACCUUUUGUCCACGUCUUUGUUAUCAAUAGUAUAGUAUAUAACAUAUUUCACACUCUUUUCUUUUAUAGAAAGUAUAUAAAAUUAAUAUUUAAGAACUCAUUUGAAAUGUUUAAACUUUGUAAAUUACUGUUACUAAAGAAAACAAUUUUAAAUACCAUAGGAUUAUCAUUCUUUGAUCUCUCGUCUUAUAGGUCUGGUGACUAAUAACUUAAACAAAGAAAAACUGUAAUAAAGAAAAAAAAGAAAUAGUGACAAAAUAUAUAGAAAGAAAAACUGUAAUGUAAUAAAGAAAAAAGAGAAAUAGUGACAAAAUAUAGAGGUAUCAGUUAAACCUGAAAUGUUUAUACUGACGAGAAUCAAAACUUGAUAAAUCAAAGAUUGUAAUUUGUUAAAAGUCUGCUUAAUAAUUUUAUAAUCCUUGAAUGUGUAUAAAUACCAAUAAUUGUAAAAUUAUACCAGUAUAAAGAUCAGGAAAAUAUAGCCUAUAAUCUCUUUCCUGUCUGUACUGUAAUUAGAACUAUUAGUUUUAUGUUAACUAGUUGAUAGAACUAUUAGUUUUAUGUUAAAUAGUUUAUAGAACAAUUAAUAAGGAAGAUGACAGCUUUAUUGGCUGCUUUAUUAGCUGAUGCCACUACUUAACGACAUGACAGUGAAAUCAACCACCAAUUUGAAAUUGAUUUAUGUGAUAUGAUAUAGCCAUAAUUUGAAAUAAAUUUUAAGCAGUUGUCUUCAAUUUCAGCAUUAAGAAUACUACAUGGAAUAUAGUUAUAAACUAUUAAAUUGAUAUCACUUCAGUGGUCAAUUUUAUACAUGUAUGUUGUUGAUCAAAAGGAAAUUUUUAGUGAUGGUCUCCUGUAAUUUCGUUUUUAUUUCUUUGAUAUAUAUUCAAUUCAAAGACUCAAAUUAGUAGGGAUAUUUAAAAUAGGCACAGGUUAAUUUCAGUCAUAUACUUAAGAUUUAUCAAUCAGACAUACCCACAUUAACUAGGGUGUGUGAUUUCUAUUUAGUGGUAGGGGUAGGUUAUAUUGGUUAUUAUGGUGUUUUUCAGUCUUAUUUGUAUUUUACGUGUAUUCACAACUCUAAAGCCUUAAAUGGUAUAUUUUAGUUAAACAUUCCCAGAAUCUCUAUUACUUAAAUGCUGUGUCUCACCCCUGUAGUUCUGGUUGUGGUUGCUGGUAUGGGGUUUUCCACAGCAAAUCAAAUGGACCUUGUUCAGGGUUGGUAUUGAUAAGUUAUAGGGUGUGAAUGGGUUCCACAUGAAGAUUUAAGAUAAUUUUUUUGUUAGAAUAAUAAUAAUCAUGUUCUCAUUUUGAUGCUAACAGUAGCUUAAACAUAUGAUGUGACAAAUGACAAUAAUUUAUUUUUGUUUAUAUGCUGCUAAUGAAGAUAACUCCUACCUUCAUACAUACAUGGGUGCUUCUAGCAAAUUGUGAUUUAUAAAAGUUCAAAGAUGUUUUAUCAGGAAAAUGUCAAAAGCAUUUCUAAAUUUGGUAAAAUUACACCAAUUUUUAUAAAUAGAAAAAAAAACAAAUAUUUUACCCAUGAGCAAAAUACCUCAUUUCUAUCAGUCUUUAUUUUCUCACCAUGUUUUUUGACGAAUUCCAUUAUGUCUGGUGUUAUCGUUUAUUUACAAUAGAAAAUCAGAUUUAUAAAUAAAUUUAUGACUAAUAAUUGUUGAUACUAUUGGUUAAAACAUUGCCAUUUUGCAUAAUCUCACAUCUAAAAGUUGUUUAAACUUGUAUUAAGUAUAUCAGUUUACUAUUUGUUUGUUUUAAUGAUAAACUGUUAAAAGUCUUAACAAUUAAUGAUAAAUAUUUAAAGCCUUAUACAAUGAAUUUAAAUAAUGUGAUAAGUACACUUGAUACUGCAUCAUUUAAAUGGAUUAUAUAUUCAUCUUGAUCUCAGUUUUAUAUUUCAACACCCAGGUCCCUACAUUACAAUGAUUGUUUAACUUUAAUAGCUAUACAAUACAAAGAAUGAUGAUUAGAUCCUUAUUACAGAUGGACAGAUAGUGUUAUUAUAUAAUUUUACUGCCCAGUUAAACUCAAAUGGACAGAAAAUGAUAUCUGUUUUGAGAUGGAUCUCAGAUUUCAUCACUAUUCAUGACAGAGGUUCAUAACCUUGAGAACUGUCAUGUUAUAAGUCACUAGGCCUUGGCUUGGUACGGUUUAUUCUAAGCUUAAAAUUUAGAAGCAAAAAAGGAUUACAGUCUGUCAGAUUUACUUAAAUCCAGGGCUUCCAAUAAAAAUUGGAACAGCCGGACAUUUUGUGUCUUAUCCCGUUUUCAAUCCUUAGUCAAUAAUUCCCUUUUGAUUUUAAAAACACAUAUUUAUCUAAUACCUUUUGUUAUGGAAGACUUGUCUUGACCUCAUUUGUAUGGUUCAUUGAUCAAUGCUAAGUAUUUGUGAUACCUGUAGUUGAACCUGUAUUUUAAAUAUUUUCAACAUACAAUUUCUAAUCAUGAUCUGUAAAGCAGGAGAAACAAUUCAGCGUAUGAACUCUUGUUUAAAGUUCACUUCCUUGAAAUAUGUAAUUACAUAUGCCUUUACAGAAGUAACCAUUUUCUUUGCAGGUUAGGUUGAUUGAAGACGUAGUUUGAUCAAAGACUGAUACAGUUGUAAUUCUAAGGUAAUAAAUAUUUGAUUAGGACUUUUUUUUUUAGUAAAAUUGUCAACUUUUGACUUGUCAUAGUCAUAUAAACAGAAAAGGAAAAGGAAUAAAUGUUAAACAUUUAUGUUUUCUGUUCAAUUAAAAAGUAAGAAUAUGUUUAAAAGCAUAUUAACAUCUGUACAGGCGUACUUAGUCUGAUUAUGAGGUAAAUUACCUGUAUAUCAGGAAUGAUGUAAGGUAUGGUAGAGGACAGCUUGUAUUACGUACUGACAUAUUAAUAAAACAUUAUUUAAUUCUAGAAACUUCAUGUAUGGUAUAUUUGCUUCAAAUUGUGCACAAAAAGUAAUGCAAGAGAAAUUUUUUAAUCUUUUAAAAGACUGUUUCUAGUUGGAAAAAUAUUUCAUGCAUCUUUGCUAGCCAAGGGUUACAAUCUCCUCCUCCCCUCUGAAUCAUUUGGAUCUUCUCUUGGCCAGCGAAGAUGUAUUACAUGGUAUAUUUACCUAAAUAGCUGCACAAAGCAAAAGAAAUCAGAAACAUAUCUUAAACAGCUGACUAUCUUUUAUUUCAUUAAACAAAACUCUAAUAUGACAUGUUUUUCUUUAAAGAAGUGGAAAAGAAUAAAAUCAGGAGGCAGUAAAUAUGUAAUUUUAUGUUUUUUGAUAUUUUAUACAGAAUGUUCCUGUCAUCAUAUCCCUAAACAUCAUUAGAAGAAUAGUCUCCCUUAUUUGAUUUAAAGGCAAAACGUGCAGUCACAAUCUGAGUGAAAGGAGAUUUCAAAGAAAUUGACUGGUUAACAACUGGUGAAGACUUGUUUAUUGUCAUAUAGCUUUAAGAACAUACCAGUACAUGUACACACAUUUUCAAGCAAAGGCCUUGACAUUUUUUUUGAGUGCUUGUACACUUUACCUUGAAAUUAUAGCAUAAAAGAC